GUCCCUGCAACGCAAUGGAUAGCGAGUUGGAUUUCUAUUCCAAAAGUCGUGGGUUCGAAUUCCACCUGUGAUG